UUUGUAGCGUUCUCUUUCAAUAGCAAGUCACAGCAAUGGUGGAAAUAUCAAAGUUGAUAUAAAUGUGAAGCUGCACAUAUGAGAAAUGGGAUUUCUUUAAUUCAUUUCAGAAAUUGCUGCAAGUGGCUGCUGAGCAAAAGUGCCAAUUUAAUGACAUUCUAGGAUGUGCAGUAGGGGCGUGCUGGUUGUCUCGUGGGCAUGUUCUUACUAAGCACAGUUUUAUUUAGCAUUGAAAAAAGACUACAGAAUUCUAAGGCGACGCAGAGGAGGAUACAAAGGACCUCAGGACGUUACAUGCACAGUUCUCCAGGGCAGUCUGACUGCGGAUGAUGUGUCCUGGCAGAAGGCCUCCAGGGGACACACUCAGAGGAGCAGCAGCUCUCUCUGCCUGCCUAUAACACAGGCCUUCUCUCCUUCACAGCAUCUGAUACAGCUGGAGGCACUGUGAUUUGACACCCAUAGCCCCCUUCUGACUUGACUGAGAAACCUAGGAUUGGGGAUUAUCCUUUUACAGGAGCUUUUGUUACCUGCAUGGAAGACAACAGGUCAUUAUCUUCACCGCUUCCUACUCCUUUGAACACUCAUCUGCACAGACCCCUGUGUAAGAGCCUUUGUGCUGAGACUAAAUACUUCUGAACAGAGUCAAUGACAGUCUUAUAUAUGCCCUGUGGCUGCAAGCAUUUUGCAAACACAUCUCUGAAUACUUGCUUUCCUAAACUUCCUUCAUAUCUUUCACUCCCUCAACAAAAUAAAUAAAUACAUUGCAGAGGGCACACUGAAGAACCCUGAAAAUCUCAGAUUUUAAACCUUGCCAAAGUUGUGGCUGGACCACAGUUCUUUGCUAGCAUGGUCUUGAAUCCCUCUUCCCGUCAUAACCUAUUUACCUUUCAUGGGGUUUUUUUUUCCUCCUAAGGUACAGUUGGUAUCCAGAGAAGAAAAAUUGCAAGUAACAGAUGUAUCUGGGACUACACUUUAUUAUACUGAGGGGACCAAAUGAUUCACGUUGUCUUCCUGUCUAUUUCUAGCCACAGUCAGGCACUGCAAAGGUCAAGCCUUCCCUUAAUAACAAGUAACUGCAUUGGAUAGCAUGAUGCAUCUUGCUGUGUUACCAGCUGUCUAGUACCUCUCUUGCUGAAUGUGCAGGCUCCUCCUGCUAGGACACAAGCAAUAUCCCUCUUCUGCUUCAGAAAUGGGCUAAUAUGGAAGACCUUCAAGGCAGCAAUCUGCAGAUCCUUGUCAAGUAUUGUACCUCACACUUAGCUGUUAGGUCAGAUGCCAAUUUGGGAACAGCAGUACUCCAAUUACUAUUUGAUUGAUUGAUUGAUGAAGCCGAAAUGCCUCUUUCCCACUAUCCUGAAGUGGUUACGCUUACUAGAUACCUCACAGUGACACUAGCAAGGGUUAUAACAAAUAACAAUUAAGUUGCACUGAUUCUUUGAGACAGCUGCAGUUGUAGGGCUACCACAAUCUGCAGGGAAACCAUAACUUUGAGUUGGGAGGAAGUUUAAGAGAUGGUGUUUGCCAUUUUGUCAUUAAUGCCCUCAAAUAGGAGCAUAGAGAGCAGUAUCCAAACCAUCUGCUGUCCUGCUUGCUGAGGUUCUACAAGGAUUACAGAAUCUUGAAGACCUACAACUACUGUUGGUUAAGUAACUGUUCUUUCUGCAAAUUAAACUCAAUUUUUUUUUUGAAAUAUUAUUCCAGCCCUUUGAACUUGUUAAAAGUGAAAAGCUAGCAAGUCCUCCUCUGUGGUCUUUCAGGGGUUCAGCAUACCAAGAUGAGCGUAUCCUCUUCAGUUUUGCUUAGAAAAGGAUCACUCCUGUGUGGGAUGUCAAAAUUAUCAUCAAAAGUUUGGGGUUUUGCACAAAAAAAAAAAAAAAGACUAAUAUCAGGAAUCUUUCUUUUCUUAGGUUCCUCACUGUGACAUAAAAGCAAAGAAAGGAAUUCCAAGUAUAGGUGAAUACAUACAAAAAGUUUUAUCUCCUUCUUGAUUGUCUACUAAGUAUAAAAGCAGUUGAAACACUGCUCCAUAACCAGCUUAUUAGUAACUGAAGGCUUGUAUGUCUUUACUUGAAAGGAUUAUUCAAGACAGUUUUAAGUGCCAGACAGCAAGGCUCCUGAGUACAUGUAUGGUAUAGAGAAGGAAAAGUUUCUUAUCUUAUGCCUUGACGAGCUACUCUUCACACUGAAUCUUAGUAGUUCACAUGACCCUUUCAAAGUAGAGGUUUUGAUGGUGUCCGUGUCUUAAAGAACUAGACGCACAAGGAAAUCUGGAAACCUGAUAGAAGACUCAGUGGCUGUUCUGUUCAAGACCCAGACUUUUCCAAACUAAUAAUCCAGAUUCAAAGUCAGUAAUGGUAUCUGCCAUGGUUGUUUAUGUAGGAUGUGACUUGGAUUCUUGGCUUUUAUGUAUUAAUUACCUCAUAUUAGUAGUCAUUCUUUUUAUGUGUUUUUGCACAGGCAAAAACAUGGUAGCAGUGAUUGUUUCCUGUGUUAAAGGAUACCUUUCUGCACACUUUUUCAUUGUAUAAGCGUAACAAGUCACAGAAUUUCCUGGAGAAAGAAAUCACUGAGGAACAAUACCAAGGAAUAACAUUUUUCUAUGCUAAUAAUGUUCUUCUGUGAUGGCCUGUGGUGACGUGACUGGACUGAAUCGGAUAAGGGGUACAAUGCUUUGGCUUAUGUUUGCUCAGCUACUUCUCCCAUAAGUCUCUAUGGGACGAGAUGAGGGAUCACAGUUUGGCAUGGAAACAAAGUUUGUGGGUGACACCAAGCAGGUUGCCUCCCCACUGUGUGUGUCAUUUUCUUACUUGUAAAAACUACUUUUGUAAAGUGCUUUGAUGAAGAGGAGUAUAGUUUAAGUGUACUAUGAUUAAAGUUUGUGACUAUCGGUUAGGAACCCACGAGGCUGUUUACAUCAGGGUGCUGCAGUGACUUCAGGGGGAUUUCUCCUGACUUACGUAGGUGAUGAACCCAGCCUAUUUAUACAGCAUGCAGUUUUCAACCCUUACCUCACAUCAGUACAAUUUACUGUCAUUAGGGUAGAAUUUGCCAAGUCAUACAGAGGAAAUUAUGGUCACUGCAGCUACACUCUUAUCUGUGAUUAAAAUAAACUUCUGAGAAAUAAGGUCACCCCACUACUCCAAUUAUGGCCACUUGUUAUUUGUUGCCAGUGGAAGAUUUACUGUUACUUACAAAGAAAUACCAUGUCAAAUCCAGCUACCUGCCUAAUGGAGGAGUAGAUCAAAAAAGAAUAGGAAAUCAGGCUGUUACCUGAAGGUAGCUAAGUCAUAUAGUAUGCAAGUAUUUUCCUCAUAGACUGCUAUGAUUUAAAUUAGAAAUAUGGAACGAGGAUUGUUAUAUCGUAAUAUUUAUUCAGUAGCCUGCAAGAGCUUUCGUUCUGAAAGCACUGUAUUUGUGUAUGUGUAAGAUUACUUUAGACUCUUCAAUUAUGGGAUUGCUAUUGACUUGAUAGCCUGAAACCACUCAUUUUGUACUCAGUGAAAAUUUCUGCCUCUUGUCACGCCUCUCUAAAAAGGUCAGUUGUGAAUUCACUGAACCGUGAAUCCAUUGAACACGUGCAGAAGCAAAACCCAUGCUCAUCAUUUGCCAUGUCUGCCUGCCUAAGAAUAAGUGGAAUGAUUAUUUGAAGAAACUUUACUGUUGUUACACAUGUUAAAAUACAGCUACUGUAUAACAUCACCCCACCACAUAUUUCUGGGCACAUACUGUUUGUGGUCAGUGAGAGAUUUACUAUCUCUCACAAAAAAAACUCACCAUAAAAUACAGUCACCUACUUAAUGCAUUUCUGUACCUGCUGACCCUGCUCAGAGCUGUAAAUCGCAUUAUAGUUAACCACUCUUGCCAAAAAAGGAAGCUUCCUGAACAUUAUUGAUUGUUUUUUCCACUAGUGAAAAUAUUACUUUAAAAUGUCACUUUUCCCUUCCCGAAUAGAAUGUGGUUUUAUAUUUGGGCACUUCUUCAUUUUGUAUUUAUAAAAUGUACAAAAAUGCAUUAGCGUUUCCAAACCAAGCAGUCACCAACUUUAUAGUCAGGACAUAAACCCUGAAAAUAACAGCAGAACAUCAUAAUGGGAAACCUGACAGGUCGUUAACGGCAGCUGUGCAAAUGGCACUGCCAUAAUUCACAAGUGCAUGCAGACAAGCCUACAGCCUCUCAGUGUCUGUUCGAAAGAGAAUAUUGAAGUAUGCGGCACAAAAUAACCAGGUCACACUGCAAGUUGUUCACUUUGACACCAGAGCAUCAUGCUGACAGAUGUCCCAUCCCUCCCCCCACACUUGUAGGACCUGUUUUAGGCCCUCCCUCUAAUUUACUUUUUGCAUGUUAAUAGCCAUGAGCUUCAGUUACGGGGGUCACUUGAAAAAUGAAGAUCUUCACACAGACAGGUCGUUUUACAAAUAUUAAGAUGGAUUCGCAGAGCUCAAGGUAACAGUAUGGAGGCUGGGGGAGAAUUAAACAACCAGUGCAGGUACCCGUGUCACUGGACUAGUCUGCCUAGGCGCCCUAUGCUGCUGUUUGAAAAAGAAAAAAAUGCUCCUGCAGGUCCUUUCCUUUGGGAGAAACCCAGGUCUUUUGCUGCCUAAAAUGAAGGCAUAUGACUACCCCACCAAGAAGGAGCACUAGCCGACAGGACAGGCAUGCUGCUCUUAGCAUACCUACUUUAUGUGCAUUACCAGGUUUUUCAUUUCAAAGGCUGAUGAAAUGGCAUUGUCACCUGUCUAUCUCAAAACUGAAUGAAAAUGUGAACAGUCAUCCCUCUCUGUAUGCAUUGGCCAUAUGCGUGUGCAUUUUAAUAGAGCUGAAGAAAGUUAUGUGAUUAUUUCCAAUGGAAUUUUGGCAUUAUUUCAUAGUAUCUGUUGUAAUUUCAGUAGUGUUAAGGAGGAAGAGGAAGGAGGGUCAUGUGUGCAGGGCAAGCAACAGCCUAUUGCACAGCCACUAUGUUUUGAUUUAAAAACAAACCCCAAGGUUGAAACCUAGCAUUUAAACCGUGACAUUUCAGUAAAAACGAUCAGAUGUUGAGAAGAUUAAAUCAUUCUUCCUUGUUUACAAGGGAGACUGCGGUCACAUUCAGUUUAGUAAUGUCUCUGAAAUCCAGGGGUUACUUUGUUUUUACACUAGAAUAAUUUGAAAGUAAGUCUGGUUGGAGUAGUUUGUACAAAAGCCUAUUUCUGCAAGUUUUUAAAACUCCUAGGGUAUUAUUUUCAUCUGAAAAAGGUCCCAGUGAAACCAGUGGGAUUUGCUUGCUAGUUCCAGUGCUGUGUCCCUUCAAUAAAGGCAUCAAAAGCUGGCUCUUUAAAAAAAACAUCAGUAUUUACAAGAUUGUGUUCUUCUUGUGAUGUUUUUAUAUAAAGCAUCUCUCUCCAACUUCUUUACUGAGUGAAAUUACAUACUUACACAGCUGUGUGGUGUAGCCCAUAUCACUUUUCUUCUAGAGUAUUUACACUGCUAUUGCAUUAAUAACGUGCUUUUUCUGUGUAUCACAUUUUAUUAGUGUAUCUUUUGUUUCUCAUGGGGAGGAGGGGCUGAACGGAAGGAAUAAACCUAUUUCUAGCUCGAAUCCACUAACAUGGAAUAGGAUGAAUAGGAUUUUUUGUUCUGAGGGAGGAACUGCUCCUUUGAAUCACCAGUCAGAUAUAGUUAAAGCCAUAUCAUGGGCCAGCUGCCCUUCUACAACAUGCAGAUAGGAAGGGUUGUUAAUUCCCAGAUUUAUUCUCAGUUUAGAACAGCAAGAUUUUGCUAUUCUAUGUGACUCAGAGAAUAGAGCAUAACAUAGGAGAAAGCAUCCUGGACAAUGUAGUCAACCCUUCUGAGCCUGUGUUUUUAGAUUAAACUACACAGUCUAUGGCUACAGAGCAUCUAUUCAGUAUUGUGCAUCAGGCCAUUUUUCAGGAGUGAGUUCUGAUUCCAUCUAAGUUUUCCUAUCCAGCAGUUGGGCAUCUUCAAAUAGCUCUUCCUCCUACUUUUAAAUUAGGCUUUCUUAAAAUAAAGAGGAAAUAAAUGCCUGAAGUUUAAUAGGAUAUGGCUGAAACACAUUUCAUGCCCUCACCAGGUUCUAUUAUCCAGAUACUGACAUCUUUAGAAUUACCCAGUAUUUUAAUGUACAUUUUAAAUUGGUUAACAGGAGUAUAAAUUAAAGUAAUAGAGAAACUAGUCUCUCAAGAUUUUAUUGCGCAUUGUAAUUUAACUUUUAUGGGCAUAUUGCUUUGAGGCAGGACUUGUGGCUUUAUAAUUCUAGAGACUAGUGGUAAGAAGCUGUUGCCUCACUCCAGAGCCUGGUGAAAUCAGUGGAAGUCCUUCCACUGACUUGACCAGGAUCUGGCCCAGGGCCAUAGUCACAUUAUUCUCGCUGCUGUUGAUUGCUUAGAUAUAGUUUCCCAGUUUAGAAUGCUGUCCAGUACAAAUUCAUUUUUAGAUAGAGACUUUUAAACAGUGUAUCCCAAAAUGUUUUACAAUAUUUUUCAUGCAACUCCUACGCCUAAUUUAAGCAGAAUAGUAGCUAAGAGGGAAAAAAUUUGGAUGACAAUGAAGGUUAUGUAUGUGGCUGAGAUAUGAGAAGAGUUGUGAGCAGAAAUAGGGUCUUUCUUCCUACACUUCUAAAACAGUGUAAUCACAAAGGUAGAAGUUUGGAGAGGACCAAAGAAAGAUACUGGAUAAAGUGGCAAAAUUAGAUCGAAUUGAAAGAAGUGAAGCUUUUCUCCUGUACUAAUGAAGCUGAGGUUUCCAGCGGCCUUAGCAUUGUUUCUCCUUCCUUGCUAGUUUCUAUAACUACUCUUUUUACAGCCUUCUUUCAAUUAACAGUAUGUUCAGUCAGGCACCAAAACACACUUAAGCAAAAAUAUAGAGCUACAUGUAAUAUUUGUAGCUAAUACAGAUAUUCUCCCAGUUAGUCACAUCAACUCAUGAGUAUUUGUAUCUAUUAAUUAUAGUAAGUACUUCACUUGUGUAGGUUGUGUCCAAAGUCAACCUAAAACACGACUAGAUUGUAAAGAGAGAGACUUAAAGCAGCUCCAGAACAUGAAUAUUUUAAAAUAUUGGAGAGAAAAGUUGCUCAGUUUUAUAAACAAUGCUUCUUGAUUGAGAAAGUCUGGUUGAAACACUUGGAAUACAUUUUUCUAACAGUUUCCACUUCCAGAACUGGUUUAGCAGUCUAAGUCCCAGUGGAUUUUUAAGAUUGAUGGCCAGAUCUGCAAACUGUAUUUAAGUGCUUAAAAAUGUAAACGACUGGCCAAGAAAAAGGAGCUAAGUAGGUAAGAUGCACAAUUCCCUCCAAAAGGCUCUGGGAAUUAGGCCUCCAACAUGCUUAGGCAAGAAGAUGAGAUCCCAGUAGGCACAAACUGAUCAUUAGUGCCUAAAAGACCAUUAUAAUUCUGGCUGUAAAGUUCCAAAGCAUCUAAAUCAUUCUUUAAAUGAGAGCUUUAGCCCUUGGAAGAGCGUUCUCUGUUGCCUUAGGGGUUGAGAGAGGGGCAAAUAGCUGAAAUAUGAGUUAACUCAUAACCCUACCUCCCCAAAGCCAGCACCUAUUAAAUGGAAAUCCAGAGGAAGCUAAAUGACAUUAAAGCAGUACAAGCAAAAGAAAUGAGUUCAAGAGGAAGGUGUUCUUGCUUCUUGCCUCCUUCUGGAGAGAUUUCUGGUAAACUGUUUCUAGUGUGCCCUCCAGGAAGCCCUUACUGAGAUUCUGGCAUUUAAUUUUCAGUUUCCUUCUUGACCCUGUUCUGCAACAUGAGCUUGCAUUGGUGUGCACACAUAAUGUACAUAAAGACACGUUAUGCUGGUUAAUACAUGCUGCUAUUGCUGGGCCAUAUAUUUAGAGCACGAGUUUUGUGGCGCAUGCUCUUCAUAAUUGGAGAAGAGGGGAUUCUUAGUUGCAGGCUCUUAAAUGCAAAGCUGUUGGAAUAAUAUCAGCUGGCUUUAGUAAGGAAAUAUUUUCACAAGUGUUUUAAAGAUGUAUUUUUGCUUACCAAUCACACAGCUACAGUCACAUUUCCCAAACUGUAUUAAACUACAGUAUAUUACCCUCCAUGUUACUUCUGCCUCUGUAGAGAAAUGCUGCACUAAAUCUUGUAACAUUAUGUGUUUGCAGGAUUGGGGAGUAAAAGGGGGCACCAGUUCUUUGUGUUGUGUGUGAUCCCAGUGCUUUUAUAGACAGAAUAGUUGUCAGAGCCCUGCCAUUUGCUGUCCCUGGAUAGGAACAGUAAAUGAACAUUUUAGUCACGCUUUUCUAUACUAAAGGCAAAAGGAGUGGCAUAAGAGCUUCUGUCUUGAUUUUGUGUCAGUAGAGGAAAGCCCCACUUCCCCUCCCAAUGGCCUAUGCUUUGGCUUCAUGCAUUUGCGUUUAUAGGCAAAAUCCACUAUCAGGAACCAUAGUGCAUGAAGCAGCCUACUGCAGUACAUACAGUCUUAUAUUAUGAGAUACACAGGUUUUACCAAUGUGACUUCUAGAACCAUUUUGAACUGCACAGUGUUCUCCAUUAAAAAUUCAGGGAAAUUCACAUUUAAGUGAAGUGCUUUUCUUUUACAGCACAGCAGAAAUGUAACAAAUACAACCAGAUUCCAGUGUCCUGUUCAGAGAAUCUUUCAAUUUAUAUGCAUUUUCACUCCCUAACUUGCCUCUUUGCUUCCUGAUAGAUAUUUGCAGUGAGCCCGAGAUGACACCAUGCCUCAGUUCCGAAUGGCUAUUGGUAAUCUCACAGUGCCACUGUUUUAUAUUCUCUCCCUGGCAUACUUUGCAUGGAAGUGACUGUUAAAUAUAGAGAGAAUUUCAUAUUGUGAAUGGACAUAUUCCCAAAUCUAUGUGCAUUUACUCACUGGGUGUCUGAGUUAAUGCCCAAAUUUAUUCCAUGUCUGGACUCUGCAUUCACUGUAAGCUUAAAAGAAAUGAUCAAACUUUAGCCUAACAUCUUCCCAAGCUCAGCUGGAUUUUUCAUCCUGAGCCUUUGUUAGUGCCCACUGCUUCAGGAGAAACAUUCAGCUGCCUGGUGGAGCUCACAAACGCACCUAGCCCAAUGAAUAAGCAGAAGUAACUAUCUUUAGACAUUGCACAAGUAGGUCAAAUUCUGUUUUGUGUAUUUCCUCCCUCUAAAACAACCCCAAACCCCCAAACAGAUGCAGCUACUGUGUAGUGCAAGCCAAAAUACCAAAGCCCAGAGGAGAAGAUCACAAUAUGAAAUUUUGCUAACCUCUUAACAUCUUAAAUUCUUCUAUUUAUAUGAGUAUUGAUGUUAGGCUUUUGGGCUUGCUUGCCCCCACCCCUAAAGUUACAUCUCAGAAGUACCUACUUUACUAUGCAACUUCGCAGUUGGGGUGCUGUGUGCGCUCACGCAUGUGUAUACUUUUAUAUAGAUAUAUUUAUACAUGUAUGCACAUUUACAGAAUUCAAACAUUUCUAACAUGUAACACUCAGGUGUUUGAUAUGUAAGACAGUUAUCUGCAGCACUCCUUAUGUAAGACUUACAGCUAGGUAACAAUAGCAGGAAAUGAUACAGCUAUGAUAGAAAUUUAGUCAAGUAGUUGAAGAACAUAUGUAAGUUAUUUUACAAGAGAAAGCUUAAUUCAGUGAAUUUUUAUGAUGUGUAGAGAUGGAUAAAUUGCUUCUUGAAUGGUAAGUGGCAUUUUUGCAUGAAGAUGUACAAAUAAAUUAUCAUUUUUUAAAAAAUUUCUUCUAAGAAUUGGAAGGACUGUUGAGAUGCACAUUUUUUCCAGCACUGUCUUGUCAAGAGAGAGUCAACUUAUUUAUGUAUUCUUUUACUUAUUUCUUUUUAUGUUUUCACAUGGAUAUUUUCCUGAAAGGAUUUGGGCUUUUAAAAGUUAGUUUUCUAGAAAUAAGCCACAGGUAAACAGGAUGAUACAGUAAAUGAUACAGUAAAGUGUAUAUAAUUCUACUUGAACAUCAGCCAACUGAUAAUUGGCAAAAGCCUACUGCCUUAUUUGUAGAGGCAAAAGGGUGGGUCAACUUGGAAAGUUCUAAUGUUUUGUCUGCACUUUUAGACUAUAUGUUUCUCAUUAUUUCUAAACAAUUCCUACUCCGAUUAGUUUUUGGCAGUGUCAUCAGGCUGUACGUGUUGCACAGCCAUAGUUAUCUACCUUCAAACUACUCUCAUUAUUAUUCUAAAAUAGUUUGUAUACUGCAAUGUAGAAAUGAUCAAGAGCAUUGUAUCCAAAAUAUUGUUUUCAGUGAUAGUUGAAAGUGGGGAUUUGGGCUGCUUUUGAAUUUCACACACAACAUGAAACUUUGAACCCUCCAAAGAAAAAAGCCCACUUCUACAUUCACCUACAGAAACUCAUGCCAACUCCAGAGGCGUGAGCUAUGAGAAACUUGGUGCACAUUUCUAGCUAGAGCAGAGGUCAACCAGACCUCUCAGUUGCUGUCAACUUAGGAGUCUGGCUUAGAGGUCAUGAGUGAAAUAUUGUAUUCUGUAAUUGAAGUUAGCUGACUAAAAAUAAAUACUUUUACUCAUUUGAAAUUAAACAGCAGAAAAUCCCCUUGGUGACACUAAAUAAGGGCUCAUUGAAAAAAUUAAGAUAGUAAAUGUAAGUGUUCUGUGUUGCAUGCAAGUAGUGGACUUGAGAGGCUUCUCAGAGGAAGAUGACAGUGACAUAGAUGAAAGGAAUGUUUUUUUAAAUUGAUAAUAAAUGAGGAAGAAGAAGAAAAUAUUAGAGUGAGGGAAGAUGGUAGUACACUAAUUUUUAAUGUUAUCAUCUCUGGGAUUUUGUGGUAGACAAAAUUCCCAGGGAUGGAUGUUGAAAGAGAGUAGUACCGUGAGUAAUUCAUUUGAUACAAAUAGCCAAGUUCCUAUGAUCUUUUAUCUCUCAUUUAUAACGUAACCAGCGUUGCACAGUGUUCCUGUGCAGGCAGAAUGAAGAGCAAUAGGGCUAAUCAGAAAAGGGAGAAUGGAUGUUUUGGAUAGAGGAACAGCAUAUCCGUAUUGUGCAAUAGAUAGCAAAGGAAAGGAAGAGAAUUACCCAUUUUCACUCUGACUUAGCAGUGCCUGUUAGCCUGCACUUAACUCAAAUGUAUAUGGUAGCCCUUUCCAGCUGCUGUAGCUAAAGUUAGGAAGGUGCUUGUAGGAGGGCCAGCAACCCACGAAAAAGCCUAAGAAUGUCAUGAUUGCUAGGUCCAUGAGCAACAAUUUUAUGCAAAAUUGGUUUUUGCUUUGACUGAAAUAAAUGGAAAUUGUAUUUAGUGAAUACAGUAAGGCCAGAAUUUUUUUUUUUUUUUAAACUCUCACAAAAUUGGCAGCUAAAUCCAAGAGCAUAUGUCCAAUUUACUGUGGGGGCAAGGCAUUUUUACAGAUCUCUAAAAAUAAGUUGUUGUGUAUGUUUUCUGAAGGUGGGAGUGACCUUCUGGAGAUACUUGAGCUUUUAGGAAUUAUCUUCAACAGGAAAUGAAUCACCUACUGAGUUCACCAUGUCCUGUAGGUAUUUCUCUUUCUAAAUGUAGAGUCUGUGGGACAAAGUCUUUUCUCACAAGUUUUACUUCAGAUUUACCCUAUUAUAAAGAGUGUGGGGAAUCAGGGCUUUGGGUUUCAUGAUUGCUUUUGGAUUUUACCGCAAUCAAAACAAUAGUGAUAUGAGAUACAAAAAUAAAGUUAGUAAAAAUGA